GUGAAAGGGCAUGGUCCACAUUGGCUGUGAUAAGUAAGAACUAAGAACUAGCCAUGUAGUAGAGAUGAGUCAUGUCUGUGCUCAAUGGGUUCAAAACAAGUUCCACUGGUGACGAGCCAGAAAAGAAUCUUCAGUUAGAUUCAGGCCCAGCUUGUUGAAAUGUUGGGACUAAACUACUUCAGGGAAUCCAUGAUGUUCUCUUCAAGCUUUUAGUAUGUUCCACCAACAUCAGAGGAAAAUGUGACUGUGAGAGGCAGAGAAUCUGUGCAUGCUCCCCAAAAGUGCUAAGGAAUUUUCAAGCAGUCAUAUCUGUAAAUAUUUGUUUAACUAUCAGCUGUCUGUAAGAAAUAUUUACUUCACGACUCCAAGAGGAAAAUGAGGCAA